UGGUAUGGAAACAACACGGGCGACCGU
rnacentral:sRNA from 1 species